ensembl:lincRNA predicted gene, 36535
GGAGCUUCCAGUUUGACGUCUGUCUGAUGCUGUGCACCGUCCCACUUGCUGAGCCCGUCAUUGGGAGGUCUCUACUUUGAAAGUGGGGAAACUGAGUCUCAAGCUCGGGGACAUCAAUAGUCAGGAAGCUCCAAUCCACAGAGAGAAGCUGGCUUCUGCCCGAGUUCCAUACUCCUCUAGGCUUCUCCGUCGGCCACAUGCAGGACUGCACCAGGAGGUCUGUGUCCCUUGUUGACCCCAAAGCCACCUCCUUGUUCCUUGUGGUACCCACCAGGGCACAAGGAUAGCUUCCCCAGGGAAGGUUACAGAUGUGUGUCUCUCAACCAAGGGCAGAGCCCAGAACAACAGACAGACAAACAGAUGGACGGACGGGAGGCUCCUGCUCCUUGUCACAGUCAAGUGCAUCAUCUCUGUCUGAGCCUGCCACCUUCAGUAUUUGGUCGCCACCCUUCAGAUGAUGGAAAUUCCAUUCUGGCCUCUUUCCAGGCACGUUCAGAAUCUCUGGGGUUGA